AGACACCCUUAUGGGGCAGGACUUGCUUCAGUGGGGCUUUGGUGCUCACUGAGUCUGUCACUGAGUGUGUCACU
rnacentral:pre_miRNA from 1 species